rnacentral:lncRNA from 1 species
UAGCACUAAGUGUGCUGAUGUAUAAAAUACGAAUAACUCAUGGAAAGUCUUAUAACAUUCAACAUGAGGUAAGUACAAAAGUGAAUAAGUACGGGAAGUUUCAGGUAUGUACAUUGCCUAAGUGGUAGAUGAUGUUAUGUAUAUGAAUCUCAUUGAGUUGAUGUAGUUAUAUGGAUUGAAAUUGUGCGAAUACUCACAGGUUAUCAUUUUAGGUUCAUAUAUUAUGAAUGUUUUGAGUAUGAGCUUACUAAGCCUUUGAAAGC